rnacentral:rRNA from 1 species
GACGAACGCUGGCGGCGUGCUUAACACAUGCAAGUCGAACGAUGAAGCCUAGCUUGCUAGGUGGAUUAGUGGCGAACGGGUGAGUAAUACGUGAGUGACCUACCUUUGACUCUGGGAUAAGCCUGGGAAACUGGGUCUAAUACCGGAUACGACCAAUCUCCGCAUGGGGUGUUGGUGGAAAGCGUUAUGGAGUGGUUUUAGAUGGGCUCACGGCCUAUCAGCUUGUUGGUGAGGUAAUGGCUUACCAAGGCGACGACGGGUAGCCGGCCUGAGAGGGUGACCGGCCGCACUGGGACUGAGACACGGCCCAGACUCCUACGGGAGGCAGCAGUGGGGAAUAUUGCACAAUGGGCGCAAGCCUGAUGCAGCGACGCCGCGUGAGGGAUGACGGCCUUCGGGUUGUAAACCUCUGUUAGCAUCGAAGAAGCGAUAGUGACGGUAGGUGCAGAGAAAGCGCCGGCUAACUACGUG